CCUGGAGGCUCACACCUGUAAUCUCAGAGCUUCGGGAGGCUGAGGCAGGAGGAUCACUGGAGGCCAGUGGUUUGAGACCAGCCUGGGCAACAUAGUGAGACACCCUACUGUAUCAAAAAUGAAAGAAAGGAAAGGAGAUUCCUGUUGCAAAGGUCCAGGUUGCAGAUGGUUGCAGAGGUAUCCAUUCCUUGGGACCACUGCAGGGAGGCAGAAAAUGCUGAGCUGAAUUUUUGGCACUCCGCCGGCAGAGCUUUCUUAUGUAACAAGCACCUGAGCUGGUCAAACCGCCUGUUUUCAUGUCCUUGGACACAUCCAGCUCCUUCAGACCUCAGGACCUUUGCACGUGCUCACAUCUUUGCCAGGAAGGCUCUUCAACUCCGAUUUCACCCCUCCACACCAUCUAUAGUUAUUUGCAACUCAUCUUAGCAUCUCAGCCUUCUCUGAGCCCACAGCUAGAUCAGGUCCCCUUCAUUGUACUUUCGUUCUUGCCUUUACGUCACUUAUUCCCAUCUGUAAUGACAUAUUUGGGUAAUUAUUUCAAUAUUGCUGAUCAACCUUCCUACCCCACAAGGACAGGGAUUAUGGCUUUUUCCUCCCUACUUCAGCCAACAUUCUACACAGUGCCCAAAGAGGGGCCCAAGGAAUAUUUGGAGAUUUUAUGUGACAAAAGAAAUGUUGAUAUUCUCAAUAUCCUUUAUAUAUGUGAUAUUAAAACACCAGUAGAAAUUUUUUUUUAAUUUCAACAGACAAAAGAUUGCAAACAUUCAGAAAGAUUUACAAAUAGCUAAUCAACCUUAUUAGGAACAAAAAUGUAAACUAACUAUAACAAAAUACCUCUUCAAUAUACUAAUUUGUUAAACUUUAAAAAGGUAAUAGGAGGCCGGGCACUGUGCCUCAUACCUGUAAUCCCAGCACUUUGGCAGACUGAGGUGGGAGGCUCCCUUGAGCCCAGGAGGUCAAGGCUGCAAUGAGCCUUGAUUGUAUGACUGCACUCCAGCUUGGGUGACAAAGCAAUACAAAAGUCUCAAAA
rnacentral:lncRNA from 10 species